rnacentral:lncRNA from 1 species
GCACCCAGGGGCCCCUGGCGUUCCCGAGGCCGAGCCCGGCCCAAAGCCACCGCCGCUUUCCAAAGCCAACCCGGGCCAAUGGCGAUCCUCGCAGGGGGAAGGCCGCGCGCGGCCCGCGGAGGUCUUUCUCCGCCUGGAAGCGCCGUCCCAGCCCCGGCGGGGAGGGUGCAGGCCUGCUCCACUCCACUUUAGAAGCCGCGCGCAACUCCACCGCGGCCUGGGGCGUCUCCAACCUGCACCGCUUUUGGCGAGUUUCCCAGUACGCGGUGCCAGGCAAACCCUCUGACCCGAGAACGCUGGUGAAAAUGCAUAUUCCUCUGCAGUUACCAAUACUAACUGGUCUCAUUUCUACUCAACGCGCGUCCUGUGAUUAAGGCUGAGGCAGUGGGUGUCUGGGGAGGAAGUCAGAGCUGGCACCCACAGGACAACCACACGUGCGCACGACACCCCGGUGAGGCCGCACAUCCAGACCAGGAUAUGAGACAAUGUUAUAAAGCAGCAACAAUCACAGUCGUGUUACUGGCGCACACCCAGAAAUCUAGGUCAGAGGGAAACAAUAAGGAACUCAAUGGCACCAAAUAAUUCAAUAAAAUCAGGUUUAAAAACAAACAAACCCCACAGAUGCUCAGAGAAGUCAGACACCUUGCCCACAGCUGGAAACAGGCGGAGAUGGACUCAACCCAGGUCUGCCUGGCUCCAAGGAUCAGGCUCCCGACCAGUGGAUGAUGCUGACCCUUCACAUCAAGAAUAAAUUCCAAGUGGAUUAAAGCAUUGGAUAUCUUUGGUCAAAUAACUAGCAUUGUCAUUAUAUGUUUCAGAGAAAGCCUUGGUUAUGAGACCCUGGCUACUUUCUAGCCUAUCCUGUAAUGACAAAAACCCGGGUAUCUUCAGUACCUCAGGAAUGGCUAAGUAACAAGAUCUUCACUUGGCUCUGCCAAAAACAGCACAUAAAAACUCCAGUUGGACAGGAUGUAACCAGUGUAUAUCACAGGGGUUCUCGGCCAGGAUGUCAUUAACUUUCCACAUGUGUCCUGCCAAAUUCUGAUCAACAUACAACAUGUAUUUUUACUGCCAUUGAAUGGACCUACUGCUAGAGUCGUGGUACCAGAUCAGGCCUCAUGAGCAUCCAAGAGGGCACCAUCAGGGAAGUUUGCAGCUCCCAUCAUCUGGAGAUGCAGGACUACAGGGCCCCCAGGGGAUGGGUGCAGUGACUCUGGAUGCUUUCUAGGAUCUGGGAAGCGCUGUCAUUCUGCUGGACAGCCUGCGUGUGGUGACUGCUAACAUGUUUAGUGUUGUCUUGAAUCUGUCAACCUCUACACGUAAUGCCAAAAAUAACACUCAAAAGGGUGCCACCAGUACCAACUAGUGAAAAAAUACAGUAUCUGUCUGUUUUGUUGCCCUUUUGGAAAGUUCAGGGGCCUUGGAUCAGACUAUAAUAAAGUCUGUCAUUAUAUAGCAUUUCAUAUUAAAGGGCCAUAUUCAAAUUGGCGGCUUAAUGCCAAGAAUUACACAUUAUUAGGCAUUUUGGAAAUUCUAGCCAUAUCCUUGAAUACCGUCUGUUAAUAUAGGCCCAGAUAUUUGCUUGCCUUGUGCUGUUCUUUAUAUUGGUAUAUGUUUAUUUUUUUAAGCUAAUUAUUAUUACUAAUAUUCUGCUCUUGAGUCUAAAAUGAUCUUAUCCUCUUAAAUCCUCUUAAAAUGAAUAAUGCUUAUAAACUGUACCCAAAUCUUUUUAAUUUUAGUUAUAAAACCAUACAUCAACAGAUCUAACAAAAUACUGAAUUAGUGGCAAUGGAUACUGAAAAAACUGCCAAACUACACUUCUGUAUCAAACCUGGCCUAUACUUUCCAUAUCCAGCUUUUGACGCUUUUGAAAGAUACGAAGAGCAUUCUGUUACAAGCAAAUAAAGGAGAGCUUCAAUCUUCUUACCAGAAGAACACCCCAAGAAGGAUUCCUUCUAAUCAGCCUAAGACCCAAAAGCUAUUAGCUAAAAAGAAAGGGAAAAGGAAAGAAAUUAAAGACUGUGAACUAACUUGUUUGCUAUGUUGCAUUAGUUUGGGAAGAAAUACAUUUUUAAUGUGCAUGUAAUAUGUGCCAGGCACUCUUAAGCCUCACAGUAACCUAAUGA